UCGAGGAUAUUUAGCAAUGGGCGAAAGCCUGACUAUGUGACGCCGCGUGAGGGAUGAAGGUUUUCGGAUCGUAAACCUCUUUCGAUAGGAAAGAAAGCCUUAGUAUUAAUAAUAUUAAGGUUUGACGGUACCUAGAGAAGAAGCCACGGCCAACUCCGUGCCAGCAGCCGCGGUAAUACGGGGGUGGCAAGCGUUACUCGGAUUUAUUGGGUGUAAAGGGCAGGUAGGUGUUUCAUCAAGUUAGAAGUGAAAUCCUUUGGCUCAACCAAAGAACUGCUUCUAAAACUGGUGAGAUUGAGGCUAAAAGAGGAGAGCGGAAUUCCCGGUGUAAGGGUGAAAUCUGUAGAUAUCGGGAGGAACACCUGUGGCGAAAGCGGCUCUCUGGUUUAGUCCUGACACU
rnacentral:rRNA from 1 species